GAUAGAUAGAUAGGUAGGUGGAUAGGUAGAUAGGUAGAUAGAUAGAUAGAUAGAUGUAUACAAUUAGAAUAUAAACAACUAAUAACAUGAAAACACACAAGCAGACAGCUUCAGAUAUCAGCAGCUUCUUCUUGCUGUCAGCAACAUUCAUCACACCUGAGCUUUGUUAAUAAAAUAAUGACAUCAUCAGGUUUUCAGUCCAGAGGUCAGCUGGUUCUCAUGAAGCUGCCGACAACAGGUGUGUGCUGAUGUCAUGAUGAAAUCAUCGCGGUACGCUGGUUCUCAGGAAGCUGCCGACAGCAGCAGUGAUGAAGUGAAGAGUAAAUAUUGAGACGUCCUUCAUUCUGCAGACACAGAGACCUUCAGCUGAUCAUCAAUCAAUCUGACCUCACAUCUGCUGAAGGGAACCCUGACCUCUGACCUCUGACUUCAUUUACAUGUCAACACUUCAUGUUUUUAUACACGGGUGUUUGAGACACUACCAGCUUUUUUAAGUCCAACCUUCAGACUGACUGACGGUAUAAAUAGAGUCAGAGGACGAGUGUCCUCCACUCUGACUGGAUCACAUGAUGGAGGCUGUUCAGUCUGCCACUCUCCCUCUGAUGGUGGUGAUGGUGAUGAUGAUGAUGGUCUCUGCUGCUCCUUUUCCUCCUUCACUCAACAGAGGUGAUGAUGUGAACACUGACAGAUCUCAGCUGAUGAACAUCACAGAGGGAAACUCCACCAGCUUCGAGUCUCGUCACCACGGCAAUGACACGAAGGACAACAUCACGAGGUCACAAUAAUACACACUAUAUAUACACACACACACACAAACACACACAAUGAUACACAACUACACACGGACUGAGAAUAUGACACACAUCAUCGUUCUACCUGUUAAAUGUCAUUUUGUUACCUGAUACUGAACUUCAUUAGAAAAAUCAUCGAUUUAACAAACUUCAUUCUGUUGUUUCGUCCUCAGAAACGACACAUUAGAGGUCACGUCAGAAGACCAGGAGGACGCGCUGCCCUUCAAUACGUUCACACUGAACCGACGGUGUUUCCUCGCCACCUGUCUCACAGCGAACCUCGGCGACUCCCUGCAGGUCGGGGACAAGACGGCCGGUAGCGCCACCACCGACAGCUUAGGCUUUGGAAAGAAGUAACAGGAAGCAGCUGUUAUCAUCAUCAUCAUCAUCAUCAUCAUCAUACCCACUUGAUGUAGUGCCCAUGUAGGGCCUCGUCUCCAUGGUCACAAAUGCCGAGGCUCAUGGGUAUUGUAGUAUUUAGAACAUGAACUGUGAUGGUUGAAUUUAUACUUCAGUCACAUUCAGAACUUCCAUUAAAGAAUCAGUUAGAACAAGAAAACUGAAUAAUUAGAAAUACCCUACUGUACCAGUUCCUCCACAACCUGAAGCUCUGUGACUGGAUGUCUGUUAGUGAAAUGCACCCUGGGAGUUGUAGUUCACAGGUUUCUGUUUGAACAGGAGCCUGUUUGUAUGUUUGUAGGAAUCUGCCAAUAAACAGCUUUUAUCAAACA